GGUUCCAUAGUGUAGUGGUUAGCACAUCUGCUUUACACGCAGAAGGUCCUGGGUUUGUGCCCCAGUGGAGCCA
rnacentral:tRNA from 1 species